AUUAGGAUUUAGGUAGGCAAUGAGAAAUUUGUCUUGUAGUGAAUGUUGAAUAGACAAAAUUAACCCUGUCAAAGCAAGUGAAAUGCCAUAAUUAUCCUGCUUAGAAUGGCAAAAAGGCCGUGGCUGAAAUAGAAUAGCUAGGAAGGCUUCGGCUUGGAGAGUUGUGUUGGGUAAUGGGCAUUCACGCUCCCACCCUUAUCCUGGGUGAAACUGAAAGGAAUUAACAAUUGAAGCCCUAACCACUCGGUGACGCAGCCCUGCCGCCGGCAGUCACGUCAACCACCGUAGUCACAUCAACCCCGCAACCCCGUCGCGUGUGGAAGUCCGGCACCAUCGCAGGAGCGUGAGGUCGUCUCACUGUUGGAGCCCGCUCUCACCGUGCCUCUGUCACCGCUGCUGUGCCCCCGUCACCGUCUCUUCUGUUCGUGCUUCCCUCCUCUGCGUGAGAUUUUGAAUUUUUUUUGUUGCGCUUGGAGUCAUUUGGUUUGCUUAAUCUUACUGCGAGGUCACUCUGUGAUCGCCGUUAAUCUCUCGUCAUCUCUCCGGUAGGCUGAUGCUUCUUCAGCGGCAUCUAUUUUUGUAUUUCUUUUUUAAGAUUCUCCGGUUAUAGUAGUCUUAGGUCCCUGCAACUUGAUAUUGAACAUUUUCCUAUGUUAGAUACUUUGAUGGUUGAUAAUUAUGAAAAGCUAGAAUUAUCAACAAAUUCGAAUUUGAGGUAAAGGUUGUAGAUUUUGUUUCUAUUGCCAAUUUGCUGGCCUUGCCCAGUGAGAUGUAUGAAGUCGUUACAGUAUUUCUUGGUUUGAAGAUACAUCAAUCGUGUGGUGCUUCUUGUGUGAGUCACAAAUUAAAAGUCGAGAACUUAUUUUGCGUG